rnacentral:rRNA from 1 species
GCCUAAUACAUGCAAGUCGAGCGGACAGACAGGAGUGCUUGCACUCCUUGAAGUCAGCGGCGGACGGGUGAGUAACACGUGGGUAACCUACCUAUAAGACUGGGAUAACUUCGGGAAACCGGAGCUAAUACCGGAUAAUAUGUUUCACCUCAUGGUGAAACAGUGAAAGACGGUUUCUGCUGUCACUUAUAGAUGGACCCGCGGCGCAUUAGCUAGUUGGUGAGGUAACGGCUCACCAAGGCGACGAUGCGUAGCCGACCUGAGAGGGUGAUCGGCCACACUGGGACUGAGACACGGCCCAGACUCCUACGGGAGGCAGCAGUAGGGAAUCUUCCGCAAUGGACGAAAGUCUGACGGAGCAACGCCGCGUGAGUGAAGAAGGUUUUCGGAUCGUAAAACUCUGUUGUAAGGGAAGAACAAGUACGUUAGUAACUGAACGUACCUUGACGGUACCUUACCAGAAAGCCACGGCUAACUACGUGCCAGCAGCCGCGGUAAUACGUAGGUGGCAAGCGUUAUCCGGAAUUAUUGGGCGUAAAGCGCGCGUAGGCGGUCUCUUAAGUCUGAUGUGAAAGCCCCCGGCUCAACCGGGGAGGGUCAUUGGAAACUGGGAGACUUGAGUGCAGAAGAGGAGAGUGGAAUUCCAUGUGUAGCGGUGAAAUGCGCAGAGAUAUGGAGGAACACCAGUGGCGAAGGCGGCUCUCUGGUCUGUAACUGACGCUGAGGUGCGAAAGCGUGGGGAUCAAACAGGAUUAGAUACCCUGGUAGUCCACGCCGUAAACGAUGAGUGCUAAGUGUUGGGGGGUUUCCGCCCCUCAGUGCUGCAGCUAACGCAUUAAGCACUC